ACUUCAGUUCUUGAAUUCUUCCCCUGGAUACCAUCUCCAGGGUCAUCACCAUCAACAACCACAUGGCCAUGCAAACAAAAAAAUUGGUCCGGACAACGAGCGCAGAUCAGGACAGAGAGUUACAGUUCUGAGGGUAAUGGUGGCCAACUUUGGUGGCCGGUGGAGCCCAGCUUCCAGAUCACGCGCACAGCGCCAACUAGCUUUUGUCCUUGCUCGAAGUCUCCAAGCAUCGACCAGUCCAAAUCAUGUCAGCCUGGAUGGCAUGGAUUCCAGAGCAUCCAAACUUCUUCGACCACCAUGCCACUUGAACGGAGCUUACACGCCCCCAUGCAAUUGGUCCGAUCAACCAAUCCCACGUGAAUUAUCUUCUGCUUCACGUGAGACCUGAAGACCAGCCUUUCCCAACCCCACCAAGCGUCAGGAUAAACAACACAUGUUCCUAUUCCUUCGCUAUAAAAGCUGAAAGAGAGAGAGAGCACUUCAGCUCUUUCUCUCUACCUUCUUCCCAGAAAGAAUCCGUUUCUAUCCACACAGACAGACAGAAAGAUAGAUAGAUAGAUUGAUAGAUAGAGAGAGAGAAAAGAUCAUAAUAUCUUCUUCAGCCAUGAUGUCUUCAAAUAGCUGCAUUUGCACCUGCACCUACAGAGAAGGGAGGAAGGAAAAAUUUGACACCUUCCCUCUAGGUGCAGUGGCUAAUGCAGCCAUAUGCCAUCUUGGUGUCUCUCCAUUCCAUUCUCCCUCACUACCACUUCAGGCAAAGGUAAGGAAUCUAGAUUUUUGUUUUCCCUUCUUUUCCCGUCUCAACUCCUUUCAAGUCCUUCAUCUGAUAUCAUGCGUCCGCUACUGGGGAUUUCUCUGAUCAGAGCCAUCUUUUGGAUAAGUUUUAUUUUAUAGAUGGGUCGAGCUUAGUGCAUGGUAUAUUCAUUUUAUUAACCACCUGAUGCUUACUCCCUGCAUCUUCUCUUUUUUCUUGCUUUUGGCCCGUUUUUAGGGUACUAAAUGUUUAAUGAUGGAUUUCGUUCAUAGAUUCCUGGAAUGAUUCAAUGAAUUACUCGGCUGCUGUACAAGUUGGAAUAAGGUUUCUAGUUGUUAUUGGAGAGAGAUUUGAUUUAUUCUCUUUUAUUUUAUUUUAACCUUAAUUAAGAACGGUUUUCCAAGAAGGAAGAGGGAUUUUCACUGUCCCACUCUCAUCUUAAAACUUCACUAUAUAUAAGUGGAGAGCUCAAGCUCACCUCGUGGCUCCGAAGUAUCCAAGCAACAACAAUACGAUGACCGGUAUAGUUGAGAAAAAAAAGAGAACAGGUAUGUUAGUUAGGGCAAGACAUAGCAAAAAGAUAUAGAAAAUAACAUUGUUAUGAUUUUUUUCUGUUAUUGUCUACUAGUGUCCCUUGCAUAGCAAAAAGUAGUAGCUAUAUAUCCAUUACAAUGAUAGCUUUGAUGGAGGGGGGCUGUUAUUUGGGAAUAUUGACCUUACUGAAGCUUUGCAUGCAACAUAGUGAAUGAUCUGUUGUAAUCAGAUAGGUGCUAUUUUUUAUCUCAUAUUUGGUAAAUUUAUAGGUUUCUGUUAUUAAAGGGCAUGCUGGGAACUCGACAAGCUUCAGUCAUCCUUGAGUGAAAAGAGAAAAGAGAAAAGAAAAAAAUUUAAAGUGAUUCCUUUUGUUUGAAGCCAAAGAUAGUUUCUGUUAUGGUGCAUACUUUUUUCCCUUUUUUUGUAAAGCUACGACGCCUUUCUCAAGUGGUUUAAUCUUGACAUGGAAUAUAUACGUUGUUAUGCUUUUUUUCUGAUAACGCUAUAUAUAGUGGAAGUCAACUUCUAAAAGAAUUUCUUUUGGAAUUGGACGCGGUUAAGCAUACCAAGUUGAUGUUUAUACUAAAUUAUGUCAGACCAAGUCAGCAAAUCUGAUAGAGUUAAAUAAAGAUGGAUUAAUUCUUUAUAUAAAUCCUUAAACUUUGUUGGUAAAUUAGUUAUAGGUUUGCCUACUAUAUGGAAAGUUCAAGCUCCGGGGAAGGUUAAAAUUUUCCCUUUGCUGGCUGUUAAAGGAAUAUUGUUACUGCUGAGAAUUUCCUUAGGAGAUCCUAGAUAACUCCUUUUUCGUGUUUUCUUUGUUUCUCAUUUCUUCCUAUAUUACGAGUACUUACGAGUUUUCAGAUAUAAAUUGAUUUGCAAGGCUACCUUGGGUCUUAGCGACUAUUGUAUUGGUGGAAGUUCUGGAAGGAGAGAGACUCAAGAAUUUUUAGAUUUGCUGCUGAAUUAAUGUAUAUUAUUUUUAAAGAAAUUAACUAAGGAGAUUUGGCUCCAUUACUUGUUUGUAGUUUCUCUUUGAUGUAACUAAAAUAUGAAGGUUUUUUAGAAGUUUGUGCUCUUUUAUUAGCUCUUUGCAACUUCAUUGUACAUUUCAUGUCCUCGAGAAAACAUGAUGUGCUAUUCUGCAUCUUUUUUUGCUUAUAAAAAUUGUGUGAAUUACAAAAUUAGCUUUCCAAAGGUUUUUAAUUCUCUGUAGAAAAAUUGCAGUUUGGCCCUCUCAAGAAGUUUUUGCGAUUCUCCCCCUCAUCUUUAAUUUUUUUAAAAAAUUCCCCUUCAACUUUCCAAAUCUUUCUAAAGUAGCCCUUUCGGAGAAGUCCCAACUCAAAAGGGUGAGAGAGAGAGGAGGGAGGGGGAGAGAGGGACCAUGGAAACAUCUGAGGCAAGCUCCGAUUUCUUUUCUUUCUACCCUGUCAACUUCUGCAAUUGUGAAAGAAGGGCACCAUUGAGGACAUUAUAGAACCGCACAAACCCUGGUUGGCGUUUCUUUGGAUGUGUGAUGUAUGAGGUAAAUCGCGGCUAUGGUUACUUCUGUUGGCAUAAUACAAGGGACAAGGAGAUCAUUAAUAGGCUCUUGAGUGUAACAAGCUGGAGACUGAGCUUUGGAGCUAGAAAAGAAGGAGCCAGUGUUUGGUGAUCUGUAUACUGCCAUCUUGGAUUGUUGUGUUUAGUUGUUUCAUGCUAUCUCAAUUGUGUGAAUGUUGGGUGUAUUAACGGUCCUAAGUAUUUCAGGUUGAAUGCUUUUGGGGUUUGUCCCAGGUUGUAUCUUUUGGGGGCUAGAAUCCCAACAAUUGUAACCGCCAAACUAUCUAUAUAAUGAGAAUCAUAUAUUUGACUUCAA